AACGGCCAUACCAUGCUGAACAUGCCGGUUCUCGUUAGAUCACCGAAGUCAAGCAUCAUUGGGCGCGGUCAGUACUUGGGAGGGUGACCACCUGGGAACACCGCGUGCCGUU
rnacentral:rRNA from 1 species